CCUACGGGUGGCAGCAGUGGGGGAUAUUGGACAAUGGGGGGAACCCUGAUCCAGCGACGCCGCGUGAGUGAAGAAGUAUUUCGGUAUGUAAAGCUCUGUCAGCAGGGAAGAAAGAAAUGACGGUACCUGACCAAGAAGCCCCGGCUAACUACGUGCCAGCAGCCGCGGUAAUACGGAGGAUGCGAGCGUUAUCCGGAUUUAUUGGGUUUAAAGGGUGCGUAGGCGGUCCGUUAAGUCAGCGGUAAAAUUGCGGGGCUCAACCCCGUCGAGCCGUUGAAACUGGCAGACUUGAGUUGGCGAGAAGUACGCGGAAUGCGCGGUGUAGCGGUGAAAUGCAUAGAUAUCGCGCAGAACUCCGAUUGCGAAGGCAGCGUACCGGCGCCAGACUGACGCUGAGGCACGAAAGCGUGGGGAUCGAACAGGAUUAGAUACCCCAGUAGUC
rnacentral:rRNA from 1 species